GACGAACGCUGGCGGCGUGCUUAACACAUGCAAGUCGAACGGAAAGGCCCUGCUUUUGUGGGGUGCUCGAGUGGCGAACGGGUGAGUAACACGUGAGUAACCUGCCCUUGUCUUUGGGAUAACUUCAGGAAACUGGGGCUAAUCCCGUAUAGGAUCUCCUGCUGCGUGGUGGGGGUUGGAAAGUUUCGGCGGUUGGGGAUGGACUCGCGGCUUAUCAGCUUGUUGGUGGGGUAGUGGCUUACCAAGGCUUUGACGGGUAGCCGGCCUGAGAGGGUGACCGGCGACCUGGGGACUGCGGUACGGCCCAGAGUCCUACGGGAGGCAGCAGUGGGGAAUAUUGCACAAUGGGCGGAAGCCUGAUGCAGCAACGCCGCGUGCGGGAUGACGGCCUGCGGGUUGUAAACCGCUUUCGCCUGUGACGAAGCGUGAGUGACGGUAAUGGGUAAAGAAGCACCGGCUAACUACGUG
rnacentral:rRNA from 1 species